CUGGUUGAUCCUGCCGGACCUGACUGCUAUCGGAUUGGUACUAAGCCAUGCGAGUCAUUGUAGCAAUACAAGGCGGACGGCUCAGUAACACGUAGUCAACCUAACUCGUGGACGUGGAUAACCUCGGGAAACUGAGAAUAAACCACGAUAGAUCAUUAUGCCUGGAAUGGCUUAUGGUUCAAACAGUUUACUGCCAUGGGAUGGGACUGCGGCCUAUCAGCUUGUUGGUGAGGUAAUGGCCCACCAAGGCUAUAACAGGUACGGGCUCUGAGAGGAGAAGCCCGGAGAUGGGUACUGAGACACGGACCCAGGCCCUAUGGGGCGCAGCAGGCGAGAAACCUUAGCAAUGUGCGAAAGCACGACUGGGUCAGUCCGAGUGACUCCUGAUAAAGGAGUCUUUUGCUUGUCCUAAAAGCACAGGUGAAUAAGGGGUGGGCAAGUCUGGUGUCAGCCGCCGCGGUAAUACCAGCACCUCGAGUGGUCAGGACGUUUAUUGGGCCUAAAGCAUCCGUAGCCGGCUCUGCAAGUCUCCGGUUAAAUCCACCUGCUCAACAGAUGGGCCGCUGGAGAUACUAUAGAGCUAGGGAGCGGGAGAGGCCGACGGUAUUCAGUGGGUCGGGGUAA
rnacentral:rRNA from 1 species